GUUUGAAGCAAACGUCAAAAUGAUGCGCACCUGUGUGGGUGUCUGACAGCAGAGCUUUUAUUCAAUCGCGUUGUAAAUAUACCGUAUGUUGUGUGUAAUUGUGGUGGCGACGUAAAAAAAAAGGAGAGCUGAGCUCCACCGUGGAAAACAAAUUGAGGAAGUGACCAGUGGGACGGGGACGGCGACCAAAUUCCUCCUGAAUCAUUCAAGUUCAACGCUAGAAGAAGGACUCGUUUUUACUUUUGCAGAGUGCAUCUCCGACAAAGAAACAGUGAAAAUCCCGUUCCAAAAGUGUGGCCUCCGCAGCAUUAGAAGAGGAGGGGCAAACCAGCAGCGGAGGUUGUAGAAAUAUCUGGACUUUAGUUGAUGUAAUUGUGUGCGCCAGUGUGAGCAAGCAAAAGGCAAGAAGAGCACACACGUCCAUCAUCGAAAGUAAGCGACUGCUUACAGUUUCCUGCCGUGGCCCCCCGGAACAUCGCCGGACACCUACGCAAAUUCCAAAUUUUGCAUGAUUUUGGCUCGUACCACAAAGCUGCUGCUUCGGAGACGUUCGUGCUGCGCGCAAUGAUUGUUCCCCUCAAAUAACUAACUUAGAGCAGUUCUAAAACCUGCGUGUAUUGAAAAUAAGAACCAAACAAAAGUCCGGAGAAACACUAGGUUCGUGUUCGUGCGUGUGCGUGUUAUUUUGCGAGAGAAAGUUUAGUAGACUAUCAAAAGUCCACUCAUCAAAUCGACCAAUCAAUCAAUCAACCAACAUCACCAGCAGCAGCCAGUUUCUGGACACGAGGCAUACUCCUGUUUGACAACAUAUUUUCACUCACUCUCGGAGGGCGCCCGCAAUAGCUGCAACAACAACAACAACACCACCUUUAGCCACAGACAUAUACGCAAUCACGCAAACAUCUCGUAACUCAUCCAAACGGCCGCGGCGAUACGAGUUUAUAUUGUUCACGCAUAAAGUUUCGCUAAUAGUGCUACUUCCAGCAUCGCCUCUCUUCGGGUAGCCACCAGCAGCAAUCAUUAGACCACGAUGAAACGAAACGACACGCAAAUGAACGUUGCUGGCAUACGCAGGAACAUCAAGAACCUUGCCCACAACUAUUCCGAUGCACAGAUCAAGGUACGCGAGGCGACCUCCAACGAUCCAUGGGGACCGUCCUCCACGAUCAUGGCGGAGAUCGCCGACCUGACGUACAACGUGGUGGCCUUUUCGGAGAUUAUGCAAAUGAUCUGGAAGCGAACGAACGAUCACGGCAAGAACUGGCGCCACGUGUACAAGGCCUUGCUGCUGCUGGAAUAUCUGAUCAAAACCGGCACCGAAAAGGUCGCGCAGCAGUGCAAGGAGAACAUCUAUGCCAUCCAAACGUUGAAGGAUUUCCAGUACAUGGAAGAAGGUAAGGACCAGGGAAUGCACGUCCGUGAGAAGGCAAAACAGUUGGUGUCCCUGCUGAAGGAUGACGAGAGAUUGAAAAAUGAACGUGCCCGGGCCCUCAAGGCGAAGGAGCGUUUUGCCAGGACGGCCAGCGGCUUCGGGUCGGACGGAUCCAUCGACGGACCAACCCAGCGAGAUUCACGGCCGCCCAACUGGGGUGAGGGUGAACCUACGGCGGCCGCUGCGGCGGCGGCGGCUGCAGCAGCAGGUCGACCAGUUUCCGAGAUUGAGUUUGUUCGGCCGCAAACCGUGGGCGAAGAGGAGCUACAGCUGCAGCUGGCGAUGGCAAUGUCCCGCGAAGAAGCCGAACAGGAAGAGCAGAAGCGACGAAGCGACGAUGUGCGGCUGCAGCUGGCACUGAGUCAAAGCGAACAGGACUUCAAAACUGACGAUAAACCCGAAAGUUCCGCUUUGGUGGAUCUGCUGGACAUUUCGUUCGGAGCCGCCGGUAUUUCCAGUCCGCACCAGCAGCCGGGACCGUCCACCAGCGUUGAUCCGUGGGGAGUGCCUGUCGCCGGAGGAUCGAGACCACAGUCGUUGAAUAUUCCGGAUAAGCAACAGCAACCAGCAGCGACUACCGACCCCUGGUCGCGGACAUCGUCUCCUCCGGUGGCAGAUCCGUGGUUAAACAGUGCCUCUGCCCUGCCCCCGCCAGCAUCGUCGAAGCCACCGCUCAUGGGAGCAGCAGGACCUGGCGCAACGGGUGGACAGUUGGACGCCUGGGCCCCGUUGCGAACACAGUCGCCAUCGGUUACGUCCGGUUCGUCCGUCGAAGGAUGGCUACAGAACGGUGCGGGUGCAACGGCGCCAGCCGGAACAAAUGGAAACGUCGACCCGUGGCUCAACAAGUCAGCUACGCCUAGUGCGCCUCUAAACGACGCGUGGCAGCCCAAACGAGCCACUCCAGUGCCUACGGCCGAUCCUUGGCAAGCUAACGUUGGUGCAGCCAAACACGAUCCAUGGGCGCCAGUGUCCGGAAGUUCCGACGGAGCAUUCGCCCUUCCUGCCAACCGACCAUCUCCUGUGGGAGCCAUUACCUCGCCUACAUCUGACCUUGAUGAGUUCGACAUCAUCACAAAGAGGAGCAACAAUGUCGUGAAUAACAACCUAAACAACAACGGAGGCUCCCUCCUGGACGAUCUGGACCCGCUGUCCUCAAGCAACACUAGCUCCACCAGCAAUUCCGCCUCGGCACCUGCGAAGAAAACGCCGGCGUCCUUCCUCGGGGAAAACUCGGCCUUGGUGAAUUUGGACAACUUAAUCAAGCCUAUCUCAACGGCACCCGGUGGAACGGGCAGCCCCGCGGCCUACAAUCCGUUUGGAGAAUCGGCGCCGGUGCAGAAAAACCUAUUCCAGCAGAAUCAACCACAGGUUCCGUCCAUCAACCAGUUAAAACAAUCGCCCUUCCCCGUGACGCUGGGAAGUGUUAACCAGGACCCCUGGGCCCCAGUCAACCCAACUGCUGCCGCGCAAUUGGAAGAAAACGGCUUCGACUUUGAAAUAAACUCCUCAACCACUAACAUUUCUUCGCUGGGCCCGAACGCGGAACCCGGCACCGAUCUUGAUACUAACAAUAACGCUUGUGACAUUGACUACGCGCCGGAAGCUAGCAACGAGGAGUACCUUUUCAACACUGAAUUCCUCUCCACCUUUGCCGGCAAAUCCUUCCGAGCGAACGUUUCGGACGGAACUGCCGCUCCGAAACCCUUCAGUAACGAGACUCUCGAAAACUCUAAGCAGUUAGAUGACUUGUACGACUUUGGGUUCGGCAUCGACGAUCAAUAUGACGUUAAUACAAACUUAAAAACUGACCAUCCAAUGGGAGCUUGGACGCUAAAGUAAAGCACACACAAACACUCACCUAACAUAACAAGAAACAAGAGCUAAGCUAACCACCUGGCCGAACCUAUGAUAGCGCUAAAGAAAAAACAGUCUGAAUAAUCUGAACAACAACAACGCUCCUUGGAUGAAUCCGCAGUCAUCGAAUCCAUUCCUAUCGUAAAGAGAGAAGAACUAAUGGCAAAUCCUGGACUGCAAGUCCAACCACAGAGUUAUUGCUAUCCAUUGAGAAAGAAGCAGCAGAUGCAGGCAAAUGCGCGCGUGGCAUGGAAAUAGAACAGAAACUAAAACGGUGGACGAUACUUAUGCACACACACACCCUCUUUCUCCGAAUUGGUGUCGAUCAGCUAAACUUCUAGUUAGCUCAAUAAAACUGUGUAGUAGAAACAAGAAAAAAAAUGAUAGAAGCAAACAAUAGCAAAACCAAAUACUUGUUUUGUCGCGUCAUUUAUCAAUCACUGAGCCGAACAUUUAGCGACUGCUGAAAUGAUAAAAGAAAGAACUAAGAAACACAUUCAAAAUGCCUUACUACUUGUUUAAUAAAGAUAAAUAAAGCUGCUAGAACAAAAAGAUAAACUCUUGAACUUGUUGUUGACUGCAAAUCGCUAGUGUGCAACAUUAAACUAGACUGUUCUAGCAUAAAAGACGAAAUAAACAGAACAACAAAAUUUGGGUCACUGAAAUACUGAUAAACAGUUAGUGUAAUGAUGGUUGGGGGGAUAUUUUUUGUACGGCUAAACAUAACGACUACCACGAAUCAAUUUUGAACGUUUAUAUAAGCAAAACACAGAACUUUUUUCAUAAAUGUGAUAACUGUUACCACAUACUUUUACUAGAAACAAAAGUGUAGGUACAUCCAAAUAACUAUACGUCGUGACUGUGACAAACAAUUGGCUCUAGAUUUUUCUACUCAUCGGAACUUUCACGACAACAAACCUAAGCUGAACGAAAAAAAACUCCCCACAAUGAGAUUCAUUUGCAAAUUAUUUUCCACAUAGACUUUAGCAUCGCUUACCGCGCCAUGCCCCCGCAUCUCGUGGGAGACACCCCGACGACCACAUUAAGCUUUAUUUAAACGAAACACAAGAAAAAAACAAAUAUUCGUUUCCAAUACUAUGGGUAACAUGCAAAGUAUUUUUUCAUUCUCUUGCGGUAAGAAAACAAAAAAAGUAUCACUAAAAAUCAUAUUUUCUUUUAUUGGGUACUGUGAGAGUAGGAGAGGAACAGUUUUUUUUUUCUUGCAAAUAUUUAUUGAAACCUAGUUAUUAUUUGUCGUUACGAGCAAGCAAAAAAUUAAAACACACAGUAAAGUAAACCGUAGUAUAUUCGAGUUUUGUUUAAACCUUGCUGCUUAACCAUCGAUGAUUUUGAGUUAUUUAUUAGCUUGGAAUGAUUUUUUGAACACGGUGGCAAGCUAAGAAAGGAUUAGGUGAGGAAAGGAUGGAAUGAACUGGUAUUUUAUUAUUCGUUCCUUCGAUAAAAUAUAGAUAUAUCUGAAACUGGACUUGUAAACGAAAAUGAACUUUCUUUUCUAAAUUUAGACUACAAAUUGACUAAUUCUAAGGAAUACCCAUUCGAUGGGAAUCUGAUCAAUAUAAAAUGGAACUUGUAUAAAAUGAAGAAAAAAAAAGAUUAUAUAGAACGCAAGAAUGGAAUUAUAUAUUUUUUAAAAAAUAAAUUGAUUUCAACACUUGAA